UUGACCUCGGAUCAGGUAGCAAUCCCCCCCGUCCUUUCCAUAUCAAUAAGCGGACGA
rnacentral:rRNA from 1 species